ACUCAAUAGAUACCCAGGUAGUCCUAGCAGUAAACGGUGCAUGCUUGGUAUGGGGACAUAGACAUUCUCCGUGCCGUAGUUAACACGUUAAGCAUGCCGCCUGGGAAGUACGGUCGCAAGACUAAAACUCAAAGAAAUUGACGGGGACCCGCACAAGCGGUGGAGUAUGUGGCUUAAUUCGAUGCAACGCGAUGAACCUUACCUGGACUUGACAUGCAUCUAUAAACCUGCGGAAACGUAGUGAUUGUAGCAAUACAAAACUUUGCACAGGUGCUGCAUGGCUGUCAUCAGCUCGUGUCGUGAGAUGUU
rnacentral:rRNA from 1 species